GAUUGUGUUACAGUUCAAGUCUAGAGAAUGUCUUCAGGUAGAUUCUCUUCCAGCUCCAAGUGAGUUCAUUCCCUCACUGGAGACCAGCUGAGACAUCCAGCCUAGUGAAAUGAAAAACUAUUGGAUUCUUGGACUUUCCAUUGAGCGACAGCCAUUGUUGAACUAGCUGGCCACAGAUGUCUCCAGAGUAGCUCAGUCCAAACAAGUCUCAUUGUCCUCAGGAGAUGGCUCCCUGCUGUAACUCCACCAUCUGAGAGCAUGCUAGCCUGCAACCAAAGUCAGGCACACCACGCUCGGCCUAGGACUUCCAGCCUGACCUUGUAACCCUCCAGGCUGAUUCUGUGGCCGUGGACUGGACUUCCUGGCUGUGUCAGAAGGAAUGGAUGGUUUAUCUUUCUUUGUGCUUAGCUGUCCAUCACCUGCUUCUUCCUUCUUCCUGUCCUGGGAUUACCACCACCUCUCCUUUCUCAGCCUGAGUCUUCUUAUAAUGACGCCUGGGGGAAAGUUAUAAAACACCAUCUUACUCCA